AUUGAACGCUGGCGGCAGGCCUAACACAUGCAAGUCGAGCGGAUGAAGGGAGCUUGCUCCUGGAUUCAGCGGCGGACGGGGGAGUAAUGCCUAGGAAUCUGCCUGGUAGUGGGGGAUAACGUCCGGAAACGGGCGCUAAUACCGCAUACGUCCUGAGGGAGAAAGUGGGGGAUCUUCGGACCUCACGCUAUCAGAUGAGCCUAGGUCGGAUUAGCUAGUUGGUGGGGUAAAGGCCUACCAAGGCGACGAUCCGUAACUGGUCUGAGAGGAUGAUCAGUCACACUGGAACUGAGGCACGGUCCCGACUCCUACGGGAGGCAGCAGUGGGGAAUAUUGGACAAUGGGCGAAAGCCUGAUCCAGCCAUGCCGCGUGUGUGAAGAAGGUCUUCGGAUUGUAAAGCACUUUAAGUUGGGAGGAAGGGCAGUAAGUUAAUACCUUGCUGUUUUGACGUUACCAACAGAAUAAGCACCGGCUAACUUCGUG
rnacentral:rRNA from 1 species